rnacentral:antisense_RNA from 1 species
CCACUCGGAAGCCGUCCGCUCCGAGCCAUUAAACGACAGAUUAUCCCCUCUUCUUUUUGUCUCAUUACCUUCGGAGUGCGCAUAUACGAGAAAUACCGUUCCCAUUUAUAUCAGAUACUCAAAACCGAAAAACACAAAACCCGCUAUCUCAACAGCGGGUUUUGUGUU